AGUAGAGUUAAUUAUACUCUGGAUAGAGUUAAUCCAUUAUAAUUAACUCUCAGUCGAUAAAUAGUUGUUGUCAAAACCGAGUGUAAAAAGGAAGUGUCACUAAAUCAAAUCUCUAAGUGUAAAUGUUUAAAUAUUAACUCCGAACUUCUUACUCUAAACUCUGAUCCUGUAUUUCACACCUCAAGUGUUAACGUCACCCCUCCCCCCUACACCGUUCGAACACCGCUCUGCUAUAGCAAGUUCUGCGUGUCAAUUGGUCUGCUGAAGAUAGAGCUACCUCUCAACUUUUAACGGUUACACUGUUCGAUGCAUUAAUGUCUCCUGGCAUUUCUUGUGAAAAUGCUGGCAAAGGUGGAAUACGGAGGAGUCCAAAAAUACAUCAAAAUUCCACAAAUUGAUGAAAACUUUGACUUCCAGAAGUUUCUUCAAGAAGUAACAGACAAAUUUAGUCUGCAGGCCCAACUUGUGACUGAAGGUGUGCUCAGCUUGACUGACACAUCAGAGACUGAGGUUGAUGCCGACACAUUCGAUGACCUGGUCAAAUCAGGG